AGUGAACGCUGGCGGUAGGCCUAACACAUGCAAGUCGAACGGCAGCACAGGAGAGCUUGCUCUCUAGGUGGCGAGUGGCGGACAGGUGAGGAAUACAUCGGAAUCUGCCCAGUCGUGGGGGAUAACGUAGGGAAACUUACGCUAAUACCGCAUACGACCUUCGGGUGAAAGAGGGGGAUCGCAAGACCUCUCGCGAUUGGAUGAGCCGAUGUCGGAUUAGCUAGUUAGCGGGGUAAUGGCCCACCAAGGCGACGAUCCGUAGCUGGUCUGAGAGGAUGAUCAGCCACACUGGAACUGAGACACGGUCCAGACUCCUACGGGAGGCAGCAGUGGGGAAUAUUGGACAAUGGGCGCAAGCCUGAUCCAGCCAUACCGCGUGGGUGAAGAAGGCCUUCGGGUUGUAAAGCCCUUUUGUUGGGAAAGAAAUCUUUCAGGCUAAUACCCUGGGAGGAUGACGGUACCCAAAGAAUAAGCACCGGCUAACUUCGUG
rnacentral:rRNA from 1 species